CAGCCUUUGACAUGGGGAUUAAGAAGAUGAGAGAUCAUUUUUGUCGGUUCGGCCGGAUCCCGCACAGGUGCUGCAUGGCUGUCGUCAGCUCGUGUCGUGAGAUGUUGGGUUAAGUCCCGCAACGAGCGCAACCCUCAUCGUUAGUUGCUAACAGGUUUGGCUGAGCACUCUAACGAAACUGCCGGUGACAAACCGGAGGAAGGUGGGGAUGACGUCAAGUCCUCAUGGCCCUUAUAGGCUGGGCUACACACGUACUACAAUGGUGGUGACAGUAGGUUGCGAAAGGGAAACCUGGAGCUAAUCCUCAAAAGCCAUCUCAGUUCAGAUUGUGCUCUGCAACUCGAGCACAUGAAGUCGGAAUCGCUAGUAAUCGUAGAUCAGCAUGCUACGGUGAAUACGUUCUCGGGUCUUGUACACACCG
rnacentral:rRNA from 1 species